GGGCGCUUAGCUCAGCUGGUUCAGAGCACCACCUUGACAAGGUGGGGGUCGUUGGUUCGAAUCCAAUAGCGCCCA
rnacentral:tRNA from 1 species